rnacentral:rRNA from 1 species
GAGUUUGAUCUUGGCUCAGGACGAACGCUGGCGGCGCGCUUAACACAUGCAAGUCGAGCGAGAACCAGGGCUUCGGCCCUGGGGACAGCGGCGAACGGGUGAGUAACACGUGGGUAAUCUGCCCUUGACAUCGGGAUAGCCCGGGGAAACCCGGAUUAAUACCGAAUAGCCUCCGAAAGCCUUCGGGCGCCGGAGAAAAGGUAGCUUCGGCCUCUGGUCAAGGAUGAGCCCGCGGCGGAUUAGCUUGUUGGCGGGGUAACGGCCCACCAAGGCGACGAUCCGUAGCUGGUCUGAGAGGACGAUCAGCCACACUGGGACUGAGACACGGCCCAGACUCCUACGGGAGGCAGCAGUGGGGAAUCUUGCGCAAAUGCGGGAAACCGUGACGCAGCGACGCCGCGUGGGGGAAGAAGGCCUU